CCUACGGGAGUCUGCAGUGAGGAAUAUUGGUCAAUGGGCGCGAGCCUGAACCAGCCAAGUCGCGGGAGGGAAGACGGUCCUAUGGAUUGUAAAACUCUUUUGUCGGGGAGCAAAAGACGCCACGCGUGGCGUUCAGAGAGUACCCGAAGAAAAAGCAUCGGCUAACUCCGUGCCAGCAGCCGAGGUAAUAAGGAGGAUGCGAGCGUGAUCCGGAUUUAUUGGGUUUAAAGGGUGCGCAGGCGGAAGAUCAAGUCAGCGGUAAUAUGGAGAGGCUCAACCUCUUCGAGCCGUUGAAACUGGUUUUCUUGAGUGAGUGAGAAGUAUGCGGAAUGCGUGGUGUAGCGGUGAAAUGCAUAGAUAUCACGCAGAACUCAGAUUGCGAAGGCAGCAUACCGGCGCUCAACUGACGCUCAUGCACGAAAGUGUGGGUAUCGAACAGGAUUAGAUACCCGUGUAGUC
rnacentral:rRNA from 1 species